AGUUCUCAGAGAGCUGCACAAAGACCAAAGCAAAUUUAUUACUGUUUUUCAGUUUACAAAUGGGAAAUCCACAACAUUGGUCAAGAAGAAAAGGCACCAUGAAUGGGAAGACCGAAGUGCAGACAACCAGCUGGAACAAGGCAAGGCAUUCCUUUUUUUUUUUUUUUUUUAAAUCCAGGCUCUUGUAAAAUGAGACUAGCAGAGCCAUUCCCAAGUUCUCAGGAUGGGGAGAUGGUAGUCAGAGUUAAAAUAUCACCCAAAUAGUUUAAAAACUCAAGAGAAGGGCUUAAGAGAUAAGACAUUUUUUAUGAUCCCAAUACAACUGCAUCUAACAGAUACUGCAUCUUUUCUCUGGAAGAGAACAUUAUAGAGCUGAAACCCUUGCCUUUUAACCUGUCUUUGUAAUGAAGGCAAGAAUGAAGUUGUGGAUUUGUAGGAGUCCUUUUUUCCUAUGGUGCCCAGUAUGUUUUCCCACCCACUGCAGUACAGCAAUUAGGGUUGUUCUUGAGCUCUUAAAGACCCAGUGGACUUGAACGGGAGCAUUUCUUCCAGAAAGGGCCUGUCCUGCUUACUGUCAUUUCAGGAAAAAUGCAGAGAAAUCAGCACUACCUCCUAAGCCUGCCUUCCUAAUGGCUUUCCCUGAUGAAAUAGGAGCUUGUGGUGAACAUUGAGUGGGGCUGCAGAGCCCUCUUGUGGAUUUUCGCUUAAUCACAUUCUUUUUAGCAGCUCUGAAUCUGAUGGGCCCCUGAGGUUAGCUCUGAUUUCAAAUAAACCAUUUAGGGGUGGCAUUUUGAAGGCUCCUUUUAGGCCAUAGAAGUGGGGGGAGAAAAGAGGGACCCUGCACUCACAACCUGAAGGAUCUGUGUUCAGUUCACCUUGGUGGUCCCUCCUGCUGGCAGAGUGGUUGGUGCCCAGCAGGUACGAGCAGAAUGUUAAGAAAUAAACCAGAGAAUAAAUCCAAUCAGUGAGUGAAAGCAGAGUUCCUCCUAAAGCAGCCGAAAUACAUCCAGAGAGUCACAGGUAUUGGCAGACUGUGUCCGAAGACACCCAGAAUAAGGGGGAGAAAUGGGAGUUAAAAGUGGCAAAAUCUAGAAAGUCAUGUUUAUAGGGAUGAGGCAUCAAAAACAACUAGAGGCCUUCUUGGGACAAAGGCUACGUUAGCAGAGAAUAGACCAAAUCCUAAGCACUCAGGGAGUUACACCCCUAUAAGCACCACACUGUGAAGCCUCCCCAGGUUUGUCAGAGGAGCAAAGAAGCAGCUGUGGUAGAGUUAGAGAAAACAGUUUCCGGCUUAAUUUGCAUCCCAGGCAUCUUCCUGUCCCCUCCAUCCACAGAUAGAACUUAACCACUGUCUUUCUCUUACGUUUUCUUUUAUAAAAGCCGUUACCUCUCUCAUCUUUUCUAUUCCCAGGGUGAAAAUAUAGGAGAUUACGAUCCAUUCCUGGGUGGACGGCCAGCGUUCCAUCUUCACUAACACGAUAUAGUUGAAGAGCAUCAGGUAUCCGAUAUACGCCAGCUGUAAGGAGACACAAUACAGUGCUCUGGCUGUUCAGGCCCAGGAGCCCCAGCAUCAGCCAAGGCCACUGCACAGCAGCACAGAGCAGGGUCAGCAAGCAGGACACAGACUUUAUGACAAAAGGAACUUGAAGGUGCUAAACUAACAAAAGAAUUAGAAAAGACAGUAAUACUUGAAGGAUUAUAAUAUGCAAUCUUCCUUUUGACCUGUACAUGUAUCUCUGGGGCUCUGGUGCUUCGUUUAAAUCUAUGUGUCAUGAUGCAUCAUUUCGCCUUGCAGUUACCCAUUUUUGUGUGUUUUCUUGGCUAAAAAGGGAGCCUUGGCUGUCAGUGGCGGCUCUUGCUCAGGCGUGGACCUUAGGUUCUUAAACUAGGGCAGCACAGUGGAUUUUUGCCUCACGAAUGCCAGGCAGAAUAAGUGUCUGUGAGAAGCAAAGGAAGAGGAAGACACAUGUAACACCUGUAAAUUGGUCAAACCAACAUAAAAAUAGCCCAGGCUUAAAGUGCUUCGCUUGUCAGUGCCCUGGGAGGGUCUUACCUGUUUUCAUUUCACCACUUUCCUGUCCUAAUCAAGUUAAGAUAAGAUAUUCCUUCCUGGUGUCUGCUUCAUUGAAACAACACAAGAAAAGACAACACAGUUUACAGAAAGGAAAGGGUCCGUGUGGCCUUUUGUGGACGGGUGUGGGGUUUAAUCCCCAAGAGGCUCUGGCUCGUGGGGUUGAAUCCUGAUGUGACUGGCUGAAUUGCUGGAUGUCUGGGAAGAACUCCCUAGGGUUUGGUGACUGCUCCUGGAAGAUUCAGUUGUGUCAAGGGUCUCACUCUCGUCACCCAGGCUGGAGUGCAGUGGCAUUGUGAUCUCGGCUCAUUGUAGCAUUGACUUCCUGGGCUCAGAUGGAUACCUGAAAUAGGCUCUCAAAACAAGCAGGGUCUAGGAGCCAGUUGGACCCCUGCCUCCUUUCUUCUUGGACCAGAAGAGGACCCAAUCUGCUCCUAGAGAAACUUGCUACGAUGCAGAAGUGAGGUUAUAUGGAAAUGAAGUGUGUCCUACCUUUCAGAAACUUGGGAGAGUAGGAGAGACCAUUUUUGAAAAUCUGGUGAGAAAUACUCUUACAGAGAAAAACACAGCCCAAAGCACAUGGGACCUUCAAUCUGAAAUUGAAUUGUACUGUUAAGCAUGUCUGGUGAUUCAAAAGACUGGCAUACCUUAUUUCCAGUCACUUCCUCGAGGCCUGGGCUUUGUCAAUAUGUGAAGAUGAAUUUUGGAGAAUCAUGUAAACACAAUUGAACAGAUCUGGGGGAUCCAGUCUGAUGGGUUUGCUGAGGCCAAUCCAGUCAGCCACGCAGAAGUGUGCUGGACACACAGGCCCCACCACCCCCCGCCAAAGAGGCAGCCUCCCAACAAGCUGCCAAUGACAUAAGCAAAGCAGCGUGUCUCAAGUGUCUCCAAUCAUAAGAUUCGCCUGGGAAGCUGGUUAAACUAACACAGCCUCUUAGGCUCCUUCCUGAAGACUGGAUUCCAUGGGUCUAUGAUGGGGCUAGAAAUUUGCAUUUCUAACAAAACUCCCUUGUCAUCAUGGACGUUUUAGAGAUAUUGAUACUAUUAUUUCUACUGAUUUCUGCUCUCGGGAGUCUGUAAACUUUUUCUGCAAAUGGCCAACUGGUUAACUUUUAAGGCUUUGUAGAACCGAUAGUCUCUCUCUGUCUCUCACUACUCAUCAACUUGAUGUGGUAGCACAAAAGCAGUCAGUCAGCCUAUUGCUAAUGGUAAAUGAGAUUUAGCCUAAAGCUGCCUCCUUAAGUUCGGCCUGAAGUUUUCUCUGUACAUUGUGAACUAUAACAAAUGAAGGUGUAACAAGACCAAUCACCGAGUUUCGGUCAAUCAAAUGUAGCCAACUGCUCAAACUGUGUUCAAAUAAGGCAAACGCUGAGCUGUAACCAAUCCAGCUGUUUCUGUACCUCACUUCCGUUUUCUGUAUGCCACUUCCCUUUUUCUGUCCAUAAAUCUUCCACCACGUGGCCCUGCCAGAGUCUCUGAGCCUACUCUGGCUUGGAAGACUGCCCAAUUCACGAAUCGUUCAUUUGCUCAAUUAAACUCCUUUAAAUUUA